AUCCCAAGAAAGAACCGAAGGAAAAAAAAAAACCAAAACAAACGAACAAAAAAAAAAAAAAAAAAAAAAAAAAAAAAAAGAAAGAAACCAAGAGACAGACUGUUACCUAACUUUUUGCCCCAAACACAAUCUACAACAACUCUGAAGACAGGAAAAAGUAAUUUUAAGUGCGCUUUCAAGAAGCACAUGCAUAAUGUUAAAAAAAAAAAAAAUAACACAAAGCUAACCACUCCAAGCUUUCCCCUAUCAGACAUCCAUGAGAAGGGCUCAUAAAUCAGCCCAACUAAAUAACGCCAUCAAUGCCAAAAAACAACCUUAAGUGCCAGCUCCGAAAAAAACAGCGCGAGGAAGGCUUCCAAAUGGUUAGGAAAUAAAACUAAACUAAACCAAGAGUGCAAUAUGCAAGGAGCAAACCCAGCAAAAGGAUGUAGCUCAUAAUGCACUGCUUGGAAAGACACCCAACUACCCCUCUGCCUCCUCCGGGGUGCAGCUGAACCGGGGACGGCUGGACUGAGACUCAGACCCCACUCAUGAAUCACCCCAGCAGCGCUGCUAUUAGGUUGAUUUAAAAAAAAGAGAAAAAAAAGUAUUUAAAAAAAAAGGGAGGAAAGUGAUUUUUUUGGGGAAAAUAAAAGCAUUUGCAGUAAUUGCGUUUCUCUUUCCCAGGAAUUAAGCCUCGCUGCAAGGAGGAGUCCCGCGUUUGCCAUCUCCAGAGAGAAGUCAGGGCAGCAGCUCCGCUCCGGCCGGAGCAGCCGUGCAGAAGCGCCCGUGCGGGAUCUCCCGGACCCAUGUCCCCAAGCUGGGCGGAGGAGCGCGGAAGCCGUGCCCGCACAGUCACCAUGCAGUGAGUGAUGAUCCCAGCCCAUCACUGCUCCUCUUGUCCAGCCACCAGCAGCUCAAUCCCUUUCCCCUGGAGCCUGUGCAGUGCCAGGCCUUGGCCAUCGUUGCUGAGCAGAUGUGUGUGACUGCCUGACCAGUGAGUUUGUCUCCCAGUCUUCAUUUGGACUCCUUGGGCUUCAAAUCGCUACCUGGAAAACUGCCGUGGUUGGAGCUGCAGUAGGCUGUUGGAUAAAUCUGUCCCAUCCUCGUCGCUUCAUCUGGGAUUCUCAAAGAUAUUCACACAUCAGAGAAGGGAUGUAGUACUUCCCCUGAAGGAGGAGAGCAAGAUGAUGUGGCCAACUAGGAACUACAGAACUGAUCAUGUUUGUUAAAUCUUGGCAGCAAGAGAAGAUGCAUCCUCAGGAAAUCACAAACCUCUCAGGACGUGUUAUUUUCCAUCAGCAGUAAGCAGCACUGAUGUGUGCAGUUCUGGGAGGACAGAGCUGAAACAAGACAAGAAGAAAAGCUGCAGAAGUAAAAUUGCCUCUAAAGCUCCUUUAAAAUGCACAGGACAGGAGGGAACAAGUGGACAUUGAUUAUGAUGAAACCUUUUGCUUCCUGUACUGUUUGGCAUUCCUUAAUAUGUCCUGAUGGCUUUGAUUUCCUCUCCUCCAUUGCAGAAUCAAAGAAUGCUGCACCAACACAAUGCUGUCCACAUCUGGAUGCCACAGGGAAAAUGAUCUGAGUGCCCAGUGAACCUUAUUGCCACAGAGAACCUGGCAGAACUCAUCACACCUUGUAGCUGACACCUUCCUGUGGCAGGCUCAGGUCUUCUCUGUUUCCUUGAACCUUUCAAGAGCUCUAGCUUGACCACACUUGUGUUGUACUAUGGAGUGCCUAGAAAAUAUAGAUGCCCUAACUUGUGACAAGUUUAGCUCAGCGUGGGAGUGUGUGCAUGAAGAGCAGGAGCUCAGACACACCACUCAUCCCCCAGCUCUGUACUUGGGCUUGCAGCGAUGCGAACACACCUGCAGGCAGCACGAGGCCAUUGAUUCCUGGUCCGUAAGCACCGAGGCCUGCUCGGCCUCCUGCCCCACGGAAACCAGCAGUGGGGCGCUCGCUGCAGACAGAGCCCUCCGAGAGAGGAACUGAGAAAUAACGGCCUGGCUUGGAUGGAGCAAGAGAGAAUGGCACGGUGUCUGGCAAGAAAGAGGCCCUCACUCAGGUUCCCAGAGCAAGGCUACAACAUGUCUGGCUCCAUGACUUAAUUGAGUGGUGAUGAGUCCAGAGAAAGGCACUGUCUGUUAUCCAGCAAACCACAUCCUAGUGGAAGAUUGCUUGGAGGGUGUUUGAUACUGUAAUAUCUGAGAGAAAUGAUCCAAACGAAACCAUAACCAAGGCAGAGCAAUGUUCAGCAAGGGAUUUACAGGUGUGCCAGCUACUGUCAACCAAACCACGGUGCUCUGGGAUUCAAACAGCACUAAGGAGUCAACCUGCUGUGUGCCACAGUAUCUGCAGCUGCCUCAGGGUACUUUGGUGGGAGCCCUUCAAAUCUUUAUGCUCAGAACAGCACCUGUAUCAUAAGGACUUCAUAAAAUCCCAUUUAAAUUGCUCCAUUCUGUACUACAGCCUUGAAGGUCGUGCCGCUGCUGUUGUGCUUCUGAGUCCUAAUGCUAGAAAUGAAAAGGUUCAGAGAACUGACACCAAGGAAAGGCCCAAAGCUGCACUCUGCUCCUGACAGCUUCUCUUUACACCACCGUUUUUCCUCUGAGCAUGUUCCAGUGUCUCUGCACUCCCAGUCCUCCUGCAGCAGCUGGGGCCAGCCAAAGAAGGCUAUCGUAGCCUGGCGUUCCUUCUGGGAGCUUCUCACAGCACAAGCAACCUCCUUUCCAGCAGAUCACAGGUGUUCUCCACAUGAUGUGAGCAGUCUGGGAGAGGAAAUUCUGCAAUUCCACUCUGGACUCAGGAAAGGGAGGUUGUACCAAGUUUUCUGUGCUGAGAGAAAAUACAAAAGGCUCCCCUUUGCAAUCAUGCCUGAUUGACCAUUACCAGGAAAUCAGAAAUGUGAAGCCAGACUGGUACUGAGCAGUACAACCUAAGACUGAAGAUGUUUGAGUUGCUGUGUCUCAGCACCAUAAGCUGGUACUGCUUAAAGAGAUGCCAUGGUAAGAUUCACUGCAAAGCACAGGUGGAGAUUAAAAGGUGAGUAUGGUGCUUAGAUGUGAGCCAGAGAAGUGGAUGAUGAGGCAGGAAUUCACAGGAACUACAAACCCUUAUAGGUGAGGAAACAGGGCAAGCACCUAAUGAAGACUUUAGGGUUAAAAACUACACUUAAAAGGACUUUUUCAAUGGAUUGGCACUUUUGUUCAUGUAAGUAGUUUUUAUGACUCAGUAUUUUGAGGUAAGGUUACAGCCUGGAUUGUCUAAAAUAAAUGCAUCUUGGAGCAGUUCAAUAUUGAGAAGCUGACAAUAUUUUAAGUUUUUCUGCCCCAGAUUCUUAAUUUAUUAUUGGAAAGUAUUAAUUACUCCUCUGCCACCAACCAUCCUACUGCUGAGACAUGCUUAGGAGAUACAAGUGAGAAAAAAACUUGAGACUCAAAAUUAUGUGUGUGUCGCCUUCAGAAAGAAAUUAGGGCAGAGAUAUGUGUGUUAUCCUAAAAGGUACUAAUAACAGAAAAAAACAUUUGUUUCUGCUGAUGUAUUAAAGGGUUUUGUCUAAGUAUCAGAUACUUAUUAAAGCUUAGUUUAUGUGAAGGUAAACUGCAGUCAGACUCAACUUCUUGUACUUAAUUAUGACAGGACACAGUGAAAAGUUGUGACUGUGACAUAAGAGCAAAGAAGCCUGUCACUCAGUUCCAUUUGGAAUGCUCUGACCUAGUGCUGUGUUUAGAGCAGAGAAGGGGAGUCCUGGUUUCCCCGGGGAUGGGAUGGUUGUGUCUCACAAUCAGGUGCCAUUUCAUGACCACCUUCCAUCAUGUUUCAGCCUGGGGUUAUGGAGGUCACAGGCAAAAUCAGGGCACUCACAUCACAGUUGCUGUGGCAGCUGAUCCUGCGAGCUCUGCCUGUUGCAAAGGCCAAAACCGGCAUCCCCACCUCUCUUCCCGUGUGGGACAAAGCCAGUGGCGUUGGUGGCACGUCCUGCCGGCUGAGCCCAGCAGGGGAGUCGUCACCUCGCCCGGCCAGCUCGCACUACACGCUGAGCCACCACGGGACUGGGUUUGGGGGGCGGACCUCCUCACCAGCUCUGCCCGCAAAGGCCCUGCCGAGUUCCGGGACAGAACUCCUGCUGGCUGGGGCACCGACAGCAUUUCACCCAGCUCUGAAUCUAGGGCAGCUCAUGGCCUGCCUGUUCCAGAGCACUGGGAAGCUUUCAGGUGUUGGAAGGGUUUGUGAAAGCGCAAUAACCGCGGAGGCCAGCAGUCAGGUUUUACCUUUUCCAUGGUAGUUACACUAGCUCCUUAUCUGGGAAAACAUUGCACAGGUUGGGGCUUUGCUGGAGAAUACUUAUAGAUCUCCCCUUAGCCUAAAUGUAUGAAUUAUAUUCAAAUUGCACAGGGAUAGCUUGUCCAUAAAUUCUGGUAAUAACAGCCAUGAAUAUUAUCUCACCAGUUAUAUACUUCCCUCCCCGCCUAUGUUCCCCAGUAGCUUGCAAAAGCUAUCACCAUAAAAUUUAGGGUGGGAUUUAACAUGGGAAUUUGGGCGCUUUAAUGUGAAAGAAGGCUUUGAAAAUCUCCCUCUUAGCAAACAACAGCUAAUAAUAACGAUAACAAUAAUUGAGAUAAGCCGAUUCAUAUCUCCCCACCCAAAAUAUUUAUAUAAUGAAUUAUCUAAUUGUAUUUUAUCUUCUGAUGAAUGGGUUGGUAGCCUUUGCUUUGCGACAACAGACUUGGAGGAGCUAUCGCUAUCGUGCAGCCUGAUGCCAAGAAUAUGUGUUAUUUCGUAUUCUGUUAUUUGCUUUGUGUUUAAGGUGUUGAGAGGAAAUUCCCCAGCAAUCAGCUCUAAGUGGUUUUGCAGUGAGCAAGUCUUUCAGUGCUUGAACAUCACUUAGUAGAGGAGGGGGAAAAGAAAAAAAAUCCCUUUAUUUGCUUUUUGUAAUUCAGGAAUUUGCCAUGUAUCUAAAGAAAAGCAUUAAAAAAAAGAAAAAAAAAAGCAAGCCCAAACAUUUGAGUGUACCCAAAUUAAUUCUGCUGUCACUUCAUCUGCCUAAUUGGGCCUAAAAAUAGCAAAAUAGCCUGUGGGAAGGAGGACCAGAAGCCUUGAAUGUCUGAAGCAAUUUGUAUCAAUUAUUUCCCAAUGUAGCAGUCACAAGUGAAAGCCCUUGCCUGAGUGCCUCCAUUAGCCAGGUGUCAGAGCUCUGUGUUUUUAUUCCAGGUUUUUCUCUGGGAACAAGGUGUGUGCACACCAAAAAGCACCACGGAGGAACUGGAGCCUUGGCAGGACCAGGAGGGUGCCCAGAGCAGCUCUGCAAGGAAAGUGAGUGCCUUCACUCCUCUGUCAUCACCAGUCCCUGAGAGCCAUCACCACCCACCAACAGUUCCUUGAGAUAAGGCCGAGCCAGCUGGGAGAAGAAAGCCUUUGAUAUUCCCUGCCUUGCUGACACUUGUAAACAGCGUUAACGUAAAGAUAACGCGUGCAGGGAGUGUGCCGUGGGUUACCACAAGCGAUGAAGGAUUUUGGGACGGUGCCAAGGCAGUUUCCCCCUCAACGCACUGUUUUUUUUCUGGAAGAAUUAUGCGAGAGCGGAAAAGUUGCAAUGGCGUUGCAGUUCCCUGCUCAGAAAAUGCCCAGGGAGGUGAAGCACGGCCAAGUGUUGCCAUUCAACUGCGCCACAGCUGGGAGCAUCAGGUUCAUUCCUAUUGUAAUCUGCAAAUGGCAAAACAGUGUUGCUCUUUUAUCAUAUCAUAUAUAUAUAUGAUAUAAAUAUAUCACAUUUAUUCAGGGGGAGCCAUAAUUUUCAUCUGUUUGGAAUGCACCAGAUGUGUUUUAAGCCCUGCAAACACACCGAGAGCUCCAGAGUUUGUAGUGCAGUUUUCUGCAGCACUGAUUUAUUUUAUAUUCCCGUAACCAUGCCCUGGGGUACCAGGUAGGCUCAAUACCAGGAGCAGGAGAAGCAGAAGAUGCUUUGGAUAGAGCCCAGCCAGGUUUUAGGCAGCCUGCAAAGUCUGGCCUUGCACUACAAAUCGGUCUGCUGUUGCCAUCUGCUGGAAAAAUCCCUAAUGGAUAUUUCCAAACGUAGGGAAGAGUGUCUGCUCCUGUCACAGAACUACUGGCGGCUUUUUCCCCUCUAGCUCCGUGUGAUCUGCCCAAGAGCAACGUGUGCCACAGGCUGUUACCGCCCUCUGCAGGGUGAAACACCUUCAGCCAAGGUCAGUGUAAGAGCAAAACAAUCCUUCCAACAACAGCCUGCUACUAGAGAGGCAAAAAAUUAUCCUUCCAAAGGAAUUCAUCCUUCUCCCUUUCAACUCUCCUGUUUCAUCACACCAUAGAAUGGUUUGGAUUGGAAGGGACCUUAAAAACGACCUAGUUCCACUCCCCUGUCCUGGGCAGGGACACCUUCCCCUCGGCCAGGUCGCUUUGCUGUGCCCCCAGAUCUGUCACCUGAGCUGAGCAGUCCCCAUUCCACACGUGUUCACACAGAGACCACGCAAACUUUGACACAAGUCCUAAAGAUCCUGUUCAUCCCAACACAUCAAAUCUAGAAUUUAUUUCUUUCUACACCCUUUGCACUUAUUUUUUUCUCAAACUGUCACGCUCAUAAAAAUAAUUCUGUGCCCUACUCCUAUGGGAUUUUCAGGGGUACUGGAUAUCACUUCCUUUUCCUUCAGAUAUCUUUUCUUCCUAGCAGGAGUCUUCAAAAUCCUUUCCUCCUCCUAAAGGCUCUGCGGCUCUUCACUCUGUAGAAGGUAAGAGCACACAGUAUGUGGGACAGGGAAAUCCCUUCUCGAUUGCAAGCGGCCUGAAGCCAUACAGGCUGCCGUUUGCCACAGGCAUCCUUAGCUCCAUGUCAUCAGGCCCCAGUCUAAUCUGGGAGGUGUAAUUGCCAUGGCAUUAAAUCCUGUGCUGGCGGCCGAUCGGCCCCAGCCGGUUGGACUGCACGGCCAGGAGCUGGUGCUCACCAGGGCAGGAAGGGUGAGCACCCCUGCUGCUGCUGCUGACGGGGCUUUAAAGUGUCCUGCUCAAAGGAGGGGUCCGUGGCAUGUGAAUCCUCCCCCAGCAGAGCUGAGACUAGCAGGACCCGUGACUGUGCUGUCUCUAAGCUACACUUACACUGCCUAAAAGCUGUCCUGCGGUGCGCCUUGGAUUUCCAGAAGAAGGGAUGUUGAGGGCAUAAAGCCUGGCCGGGGCGCCAGGGACUGUUUGAGGCAGCACAGGGAACUGGUCCCUCUUUGCCUGGUGGAGAAGGUGUGACAAGGAGUUAUCCCAAGCCAAGGCACCAUUGGCUGUGGCCAUUGGCCUCCAGCUGGCUCAGCAUGGGGACAGAGACAACCUGCACCUUUACAAACCUGUUUAUUAUUUACAGAGUCUCUAUUAACCUUCACUAGCAGAGUUAAGCAUCUUCAGUUUCCAAACUUCCAUACGCAGACCCCAAGCAUCUACUGUGGCCUGGAGGCCCUCUAGCAUGGGAGAGGAAAGAAUCUGCACCUGCACCAUCCAUGCUCUCACUUGAUGUGGAAAUUGUAAUGACAUUAUUGAGGCGUGUCCUCAAUGUGUCUCUUACUGCCUUGCCACUCGUGGAAGCCCAAGGCUGUGUUGUCCUAGUUUACCUUUCUGAUGUGGAGGAGCUGAACUGCCAAGGGAUGAGGAAUUUGGUGCUCUCUGUGGAGGGCCAUCCUGUAAAAUUUCUGUCCAGAAAUUCUGUCAUUAUGACUCCACUGCAUAAAGAAUGAAAUGGCCUGAUUGUCAGCAAUUUUUAUUUCUGCAAUAGUGUAAAAAUGUUUGAAUUUUAAUACUAUUUAUUAUUUUAAAAAUACAAAAUAUUUUAAAGCUUUAAAUGAUAGCUAAAAUAUACCUGAAAGCUAGAAAGAGCAAAUACAUAGAAUACUUCUCCCUCUUUGUAGAAUUUAAUUCAAAAAUAUGUUUUCAUUCAAAAAUAAGCUGAUGGGGAUGUGCUUUUAUGUUUUUAGUGACCUUUACAGAUUUACUCCUCAGGUUUUUUGAGUUCAUAGAAUCAUGGAAUAAUUCAGGUUGGAAAGGACUCCAAAGAUCACUUCAUUCCAAGCCUCCUGCCAUGGGCAGGGACAUUUUUCCCUAGAGCAGCUUGCUCAGAGCCUCAUCCCAGAGCACCAAUGGGCCUUGAACACUUCCAGGCACGGGGCAGCCCCAGCAUCCCAGAGCAACCUGUGCCAGCCAGGUGCCAGAGGAGGAAGAAAGCCCUUCCCACCUGGAGCAGAGGCUGCUGCAGCUUCGUGCAGCCUCGUGUCACCGAGUGUGUGAGACAGAAAGGCCCUUCCCAUGGAUGGAAAGCAGCACUGAAAGAUCUUUUUCGGGAAAAGCAGAGCGAUGGAACACCAAAGUAGCCUUCGGUUCUUCCAGCAGGUUUGGGAACAACUUGAAGGAGGAGCAGAGCUGGCCUGGUGCCUGCCAGCUCUGUAGGAAGUGGGGAUGGAGAAGCAGCAAUUUUCUGUCUUCUCGGCCGAGUCUUUAAAAAUGAGGCGCUUUUCUGUAGCUCCUUUUCAAGCAUUACAUGAAAGUUCCCCCUAGAAGUCCAAAGGCAGCUUUUUCUUAG